rnacentral:rRNA from 1 species
UACAGAGGGUGCGAGCGUUAUCCGGAAUCACUGGGCGUAAAGGGUACGUAGGCGGUUAAUUAAGUCCGAUGUCAAAUCUUGAGGCUCAACCUCAAGUCGGCGUUGGAUACUGAUUAACUAGACUACUGGAGAGGUAAGUAGAAUUACCAGUGUAGCGGUGGAAUGCGUAGAUACUGGUAGGAAUACCCAUAGCGAAGGCAGCUUACUGGACAGAUAGUGACGCUAAGGUACGAAAGCGUGGGGAGCAAACAGG